rnacentral:lncRNA from 1 species
AGAGAGUGGGAUGGAUUGGGAGUUUGGGGUUAAUAGAUGCAGACUAUUGCUUUUGCAAUGGAUAAGCAAUGAGAUCCUGCUGUGUAGCACUGGAAACCAUGUCUAGUCACUUAUGAUGGAGCAUGAUAAUGUGAGAAAAAAGAAUGUAUAUAUGUAUGUAUAACUGGGUCACCAUGCUGUACAGUAGAAAAUUGACAGAACACUGUAAACCAGCUAUAAUGGAAAAAAAGAAAAAUCAUUAUAAAAAAAUAAUCAUUCAAGGGGAAAAAGAUAUGUGAACAGGAUAUUUAUUGUAGCAUUGUUCAUAACAGUAAAAGAUUGAAAACAAUGCAAGUAUUUAUACAUAUGGAAUAGGUUCCCGGACUAGGGGUCAAAUAGGAGCCAAUGGCCUAUGCCACAACCACAGCAAUGCCAGAUCCAAGCCGCAUCUGCGACCUACUCCACAGCUCACGGCAAUGCCAGAUACUUAACCUACUGGGCAAGGCCAGGGAUCGAACCUUUGUCCUCAUGGAUAUUUGUCAGGUUCAUUAACCGCUGAGCUACGACAGGAACUCCACAAACAAUAUCUUAAUCACAUUCAAGAGAAUAAUGAUUUUUGCAUGUUGGUACAGUAGGGAUUUCCAUAAUUUAACCUUAAAGAGCUGUUCUCUCAUCAUCUUUUAGUCAUUAACUGGUAGGUCAUAGACAAAAGAUUUUGUUUAUACAAAUGUAUCAUGAGGAAUUGUGAAAUCAUUAGACUUUUUUCUUUUAUAUGUGAUGAGGCCUAUUAUUAAUUUUACUCUUCCAUGAUUCAUUAAUUUUGAAGUGUGGAAGAGUAAAAGUGGAUGUCACAGUGGAGGACUUCCUUUCUUUCUGCUGACCUCAGUCUUAGUACCUCCAUCACAGAAAUCCACUGGAAAAGGGGUGUUCAGCGUUUCCAUAAACAUGUGGGGCAGAAAAUGUCAGGAUAAAUUUUACAAAUCUGUUAAACCAAUUGUGUCAAAAAUAAGAACAGAGAAAUGAAAAUGAUAGAUUUCUUAAGUCUCAUUCCAAAUCCUAACAGUGCUUUGUAAGCGCCUAAAAGACUGUCCACUGGAAAAGAGAUCAUGGUUUUACUUGCCUGCUUCUAAUUAAGAAGAUUGCUGUCUCACUCUAUACACUGCUGAUCCUCAGAUCACAAUGGUGAGACCAUGGAAGGCACAAGGAAUAUUCACACCUGGACAGCAACUUAGAGUAUGGAUUGUCAUGCAACAGAGCUCAGGCAAAUCCAUAACAUCACAGGCAAAGAGUCAGGCUUAACUAGGAAAUUUACAAGCCAAGAGUGUGUAAGAGAGGGCACAGGGGACGCACUGGGGACAGUGUGCUCUGUUGGACCUGUCAUAAGUGAGCAUUCCAGUGAAGGAACAUCUGCUCUCCUGUGCUCUCUCGUCUUCAAGACCAAAGUUGUAAACAUCCUUGUCAGUUGGGUUCACACAGACUACUUGGUAUCAGACUGUUUAGAUGUCAAUUGUCAGGAAUUAUCUGAGAGAGCCAGCUGGCUGUAUCUGGACUCCCUGAGUGUCCCUGGGAAGUUGCAACCCCUCCUACUUGGAGAGAAGAAGCCACCUGUGCCAUGGAAGGGGAAUGUGGAAGAAAUAGGGAGGUUGUUGGUCACAGCGGGUCCAUUGGCCAGGCGACCCAGAGUGAUCUCCCGGGAUCAUCAGCAGACUAUUCUGUUUCACCACUGAUAUAGUUAGACAUCAUCUUUGUACAUAAAAAGACAGAACUUAGGGUUCUGUUUUUAUUGAAAAUUUAAAAUGGGAGUUCCUGUCAUGGCUCAGUGGUUAACAAAUCCGACUAAGAACCAUGAGGUUGCGGGUUUGAUCCCUGGCCUUGCUCAGUGGGUUAAGGAUCUGGUGUUGCCGUAAGCGGUGGUGUAGGUCACAGAUGUGGCUUGGAUCCCACGUUGCUGUGGCUGUGGUGUAGGCUGGUGGCUACAGCUCCAAUCCAAUCCCUAGCCUGGGAGCCUCCAUAUGCCAUGGUGUGGUCCUAAAAGGACAAAAAAAAAAAAAAAAAAAAAAAAAAA